rnacentral:rRNA from 1 species
AAUGAACGCUGGCGGCGUGCCUAACACAUGCAAGUCGAGCGAGAAAGGGGAGCAAUCCCCGAGUAAAGCGGCGGACGGGUGAGUAACACGUGGGUAAUCUGCCCGGGAAUGGGGAAUACCCCUCCGAAAGGAGGGCUAAUACCGCAUACGACCGCUCGGACCCUGGUCUGAGCGAUGAAAGCGGGGUCGCAAGAUCUCGCGUUCCCGGAGGAGCCCGCGCCCGAUUAGCUAGUUGGUGAGGUAACGGCUCACCAAGGCUACGAUCGGUAGCCGGCCUUAGAGGGUGAUCGGCCACACUGGGACUGAGACACGGCCCAGACUCCUACGGGAGGCAGCAGUGGGGAAUCUUGCGCAAUGGGCGAAAGCCUGACGCAGCAACGCCGCGUGGAGGAUGAAGGUCUUUGGAUUGUAAACUCCUGUCGAGCGGGAAGAUGGGGUCGGGUGCUCAUACCAUCCGGCCUUGACUGUACCGCCAGAGGAAGCCCCGGCUAACUCCGUGCCAGCAGCCGAC